CGUAUCAUCCGCUGCCCGCCCCCUGCCCCGCCGUCCUCUUCGCCUCCCACCUGCCGUCCUCCACGUGUCUAACCAGAUCUGCUGCCGCUCACGUUGCACUCGGGUGUGUGGAGCGGCGUAGGGAGGGGCUGAUCCCGGAAGCUGGUGGUGGCUAGGAGGAGGGCGGCGCUGGGAGUAGUUUGGAGGCGGGGAGUAUGGCGGUGGCUCAGUGGGGCUCCUCCGCCAUCUCCUUUGCUCCUCCGCCAUCGGGACGACCCGGUGCACGACCACACGCAAGGUUUGGCAGGAGGAAAAGGAGAGCAAGGGAACCAAACGGAAAAGUAAGACUCGUCCAUGGGAGACCCUGAACUGGUAGCGAGGAGUACAAUUUGGGUGGGGAUGCACUCGAUACAGCUCGAUUCGGGGCUACCGAGGUUGAUUCGAGUUGCUAGGAGGUCCGUUCCAGAGGAGCCGAGGUCAAUUUGAGGAGAGAAGCUCGAUUGGGCGAGGUGGAGCUAGAUCCAAGCAGUGAGGAAUUCGCUGGGCAAUGAGGAACUAGAUUGGGCACUGUGGAGCUCCAUCCACGUGGUGAGGAGUUUGAUGCGUGGGCUAGCAAGCCAAUUUGGUUCAACACUAUCGGAUUUGCCCAUUUGAUAGGGCCUUUUCUUUUCUUAUGUGAUCAAAAUGGUGACCUCGGAUUUGAUGCUUUCUUAUCGGAUUGUCGUGCUCAACAUUCCAGAUUGGUCUGUUCAGACUCUGCCAUCGCCCGGCAGAACACUGAUUUGGGGAAAAGACAUGCUUUAAACUUAUUUCGGGGAUGGAAAAGCCGCAAGGAUUUGUGAAUGUGAACUUUCGUAAUGCCUCUUGGGGAGCAUAAUGUGUUGCUUACCUACUUCUUGCAGAAUCAGGUGGAACUUCAAGGGCUUUGGUGGAGGUGAUCAGCUCCCUGUAGAAAGAUAAAGUAUCUGGCUUCAUGAUUCAUGCUCAAUUGAGUGACCGAUUUUAAUGUGAUAGUAGCACAUUCUAAAUGAUAUCCAUCUCAUGUGCCAAUACUAUCACAGAAUACAGAGUGACCAUCACUGAAGGUGAUAUAUGGUGUUGUGCUCAUUUACUUGAACAUUUUAGCUUGAAAGUUCUUUUCUGCGCUUCAAGAACAAUGCCAUUGACGAAUAAAGUGAUUUAUUGGUGCACAGUAUACGGCAUAUCAUAGCUUUUGUGACACUCAAUGUGUGAGAUCUUUGAAAGCUACUUGCAUUUUUUUAGUUGUUUGGUAGGACAGAACUAUGCAGAUUUUGUUCUGAAUUUGUAGGAAUUUGGUGUGUUUUAUCUCGGUUGUUGGUCUUAUCUAUUGUUACUUAAAUGCUCAUUUUUAUUUGGUUUGUUGUCUAUUGAUGUUGAAGAGCACAUUCUGAAUUACCUAAAGGACGUGGUGGUAUGCAUAAAUUAUUUUCGUUGCUGGCCCCAUUUUUGUUUUUGGUUCAUUUGUGAUGCCAUACACAUCUGGUUAUUGAUUGUCUUGUAGUAGCAUAAUUGGCGCGGCUUUCCCAUGCAUUCUCAUAAUUGGUUGUUAAGCAAUGAUGUUAAGUAAUCUACUGCACUUCCUAUCCAACAAUGAUAUGAUGGGAACUGACUGGCUCACAGCAAGUGCUUUGAUGGCAUGAUUGUUAGAACAAUAGUGUUCUUCAGUAAUUAACCUUAUUUAUGUUGCUAUUUGGUUUAUUCUUUCCAACAUGUAACUAACAAUCUCUCCAAACAACUCCAAAGGUUAUUCAUCCAUAACUGUAUUUGGAAUUUCUACAUUGAGGUUUCUAGCUUGACCAAAAAUAGAUUUCAUUCGUGGUGUAAUUUGGCAUGUGCCCAUGAACUUAACCGUGUAUGGUUUGUUAUGUUGAAUUGCUUGUGCAUCCAGCCUCUUUAUUUUUUUUGAUUGUGCAUUCUUUGGCAAUAUACAAGCAGAAAGAUAGCUUUUUUAUAUCUAAAUGUUCUGAUCAUAUAACAUUUGUUUUUUUUACACAUUGGAGGCAUUUUGAGUGGAUGGAGCUGGAGCUGUGAGAAAGUACUGCUAGCAGGAAUAAUUGGAAGGAAAAUUAUAUCACCUAAACUUUCUUUGAGAGCUUGACUUAAUUCUGGUCUUGUGACCAGUUGCUAGCAUGAAAGUUGUAGCCAACUACCUCCAUGAUUAGUGGAUUAAUAUAAAGUGUGGUACAAGGAGAAACUGAAAGUGAGAAGAAAGGAAGUCCUUGGCUGAUAAAAUGUGUAGUUUUAGUUAAUUUUUUGUCUUUAUGGUGUAGCAUUUAUUGUUAGGACAAAAACGUGUAACCAAUAUUUUUUAGUAUAUGAACAUUGCUAAUUUUUUACCCUGUUCUUGGAUUGGGUUAUUUGCUUACAUUUUCUGCAUCUGCUGGCAGACCUGAAGUGGACAUCUCUCAGUAUAUGAUUUAUGCCUGUUUGGAGUUGUGUUAUUCGCUCAAGAUCGCAAGUCAUGUCAUUUUGCAUUAGCUAAAAACAAUCAAUUAUAUUGUGAAAAUUUUCAGUUCCGGUUGUAACGCACGAACAACUAACUAGUAAUGUACAAAAUAUGGUGUUUUGAAAAAAGAAAAUAUUGGCAAAUCUUGUGAUACAAUAUUCAUAUGGUAAUCAUGGCUAAUUUUUGCCAUAUUAAUGGUUAAGUUAUACGAGUUUUGACAGCUUAAAUUCUAAAAUUGUCAUUUCAAAGCAUUGUGGGAGCAAUAAAGUAUGUUGCUACCUUCAGUUUCACGGAGGAUGAUACAUAUUUUCAC